rnacentral:rRNA from 1 species
AUUGAACGCUGGCGGCAGGCCUAACACAUGCAAGUCGAGCGAGCGGCGGACGGGUGAGUAAUGUAUGGGGACUGCCCGAUAGAGGGGGAUAACUACUGGAAACGGUAGAUAAUACCGCAUACUAUCGGAUAACCCAUAUGGUUUUAGCUAGUAGGUGGGGUAAGGUCUCACCUAGGCGACGAUCCCUAGCUGGUCUGAGAGGAUGAUCAGCCACACUGGGACGGAGACACGGCCCAGACUCAUACGGAGGCAGCAGUGGGGAAUAUUGCACAAUGGGCGCAAGCCUGAUGCAGCAAUGCCGCGGGUAUGAAGAAGGCCCUAGGGUUGUAAAGUACUUUCAGUCGGGAGGAGGUACAGAAAGAAGAAGCACCGGCUAACGCCGUGCCAGCAGCCGCGGUAAUAG